UGCGUAGGCGGAAUAGUAAGUCAGGGGUGAAAGUUUGCGGCUCAACCGUAAAAUUGCCUUUGAUACUGUUAUUCUUGAGUACAUUUGAGGUAGGCGGAAUGUGUUGUGUAGCGGUGAAAUGCUUAGAUAUAACACAGAACACCGAUUGCGAAGGCAGCUUACUAAACUGUAACUGACGCUGAUGCACGAAAGCGGUGGGGAUCGAACA
rnacentral:rRNA from 1 species